CUCCGGCUUGGUCUCCUCUUACUCCCUUCCCCCCUUUUCCAGGCUCUGUCUCUCUCCAUGGUUCUAUCUAUCUGUGGCUCCCCCGUAUCUGAGAUUCCGGGUCUCCCCAUCUUUGGGCCUUCCCCCUUCUCAAGGGAAGGAGUGAGGUCGGGCUGAGGACUUGGGCAGCGCCUCUCAGCUUUUGGGGCCUGGCUCUCUGUCCCUGCUCUAGCUCCCUUUCUGCCUUACUGGCCGGGGCCUCUGUCAUCGCCAGGUCUCUUUAUUUUCCGAAGGCUGCAGGAGGCCCGGGCACUGCUGCAGCGCCGCCGACCCCGAGGGCCCGGACACAGGGGCCUUCUGCGGCUAAGCCGCCAGCUGGAGAGAGCGGCCGCUGCUCCUGCCCGGGCCCCCGGGCGAGAGCUGAGGGACCCUGGCGUCCGGCCCUUCUCCCCAGGUGGCUCCGUGACAGCGGGUGUGGGGGAGGGAG
rnacentral:lncRNA from 1 species